rnacentral:rRNA from 1 species
CCUACGGGAGGCAGCAGUGGGGAAUAUUGCACAAUGGGGUUACCCCUGAUGCAGCGACGCCGCGUGAGUGAGGCAGUAUUUCUGUAUUUAAAGCUCUAUCAGCAGGGAAGAAACUGACGGUACCUGUCUAAGAAGCCCCGGCAAAAUACGUGCCAGCAUCCGCGGUAAUACGUAGGGGGCAAGCGUUAUCCGGAUUUACUGGGUGUAAAGGGAGCGUAGGCGGCUAAUCAAGGUAGACGGGAAAACCCAGGGCUCAACCUUGGGAGGGCUUUUGAAACUGAGGAGCUAGAGUGGAGGAGAGGUAAGCGGAAUUCCUAGUGUAGCGGUGAAAUGCGUAGAUAUUAGGAGGAACACCAGUUGCGAAGGCAGCUUACUGGACUGUAACUGACGUUGAGGCUCGAAAGCGUGGGGAGCAAACAGGAUUAGAUACCCCAGUAGUC